GCCAUUCAGCAUAUUUUUAUCAUCAAAAGACUCCAAGUAAUAAAUAUUGACAUUUCAGUGUUUACGAGAUUUUUAUUGAAUAAUAAAAUCAAAUUGCUGAACGUUUUACGAUUUAACUUUCACAUUUUGUUAAUUGGUCAUUCUGUUUUCUGAUGUCGAUUUUACGAGAACACGUGGGUAACUGACAUCGUGGUUUUACUGAAUUUACUGGUGAUCCACAUGCUGUACAACGUAAUUGUGGAUAUUUUUGCCGAGUUGGAAAAUCAUCAGUGAUGAAGUGUGGUCCAUAGCAAUCUAGGAUUUCAGUUCCUUUUUCAAUAAAUCUCAAGGCACGAACUACUACUUUUCCUACGAAGAAAAAAAUAUUUAUAUUAUUUAAUACUUGCUAUUUAUUUCAACUGAUUCAAACAUUUUUAACAUGAUUUUUAACUGACUAGUAAUUAUUAAUAUAAUUUUUUUGAUCAUCAAAUUAUUUUUACUAACCUCGGGGAUAAGAAUGUCGUAUUACAUUAGGAUAACAGCUAUGAU